GUGAUAAGGAAUUUGGAAUUUGUACAGACACCACACCUGGUUACACGUGUAGUUGUCAAAAUGGAUAUACAGGUGAUGGAUUUACAUGUUCAGAUUUAAACGAGUGUUCACAAACAGAUAGGGGGAAUUGUACACAAGGUUGCUUGAAUAACAUUGGCAGCUUUAUUUGUUUUUGUGGUAAUGGUUACACAUUAGAAAAUGAUGGAAAAACAUGCAAAAAUAUUGACGAAUGCGCAAGAGAUAUUGAUAAUAAUUGUUAUGACAGUACUUUAUGUACUGACACAGAUGGUAGUUACGCAUGUAAUUGCCCACCUGAUUUUGAAUUGAAAGCCGAUGGA